rnacentral:rRNA from 1 species
GGGACACGUGGUAUCCUGUCUGAAUAUGGGGGGACCAUCCUCCAAGGCUAAAUACUCCUGACUGACCGAUAGUGAACCAGUACCGUGAGGGAAAGGCGAAAAGAACCCCGGCGAGGGGAGUGAAAAAGAACCUGAAACCGUGUACGUACAAGCAGUGGGAGCACGCUUAGGCGUGUGACUGCGUACCUUUUGUAUAAUGGGUCAGCGACUUAUAUUCUGUAGCAAGGUUAACCGAAUAGGGGAGCCGAAGGGAAACCGAGUCUUAACUGGGCGUUAAGUUGCAGGGUAUAGACCCGAAACCCGGUGAUCUAGCCAUGGGCAGGUUGAAGGUUGGGUAACACUAACUGGAGGACCGAACCGACUAAUGUUGAAAAAUUAGCGGAUGACUUGUGGCUGGGGGUGAAAGGCCAAUCAAACCGGGAGAUAGCUGGUUCUCCCCGAAAGCUAUUUAGGUAGCGCCUCGUGAAUUCAUCUCCGGGGGUAGAGCACUGUUUCGGCAAGGGGGUCAUCCCGACUUACCAACCCGAUGCAAACUGCGAAUACCGGAGAAUGUUAUCACGGGAGACACACGGCGGGUGCUAACGUCCGUCGUGAAGAGGGAAACAACCCAGACCGCCAGCUAAGGUCCCAAAGUCAUGGUUAAGUGGGAAACGAUGUGGGAAGGCCCAGACAGCCAGGAUGUUGGCUUAGAAGCAGCCAUCAUUUAAAGAAAGCGUAAUAGCUCACUGGUCGAGUCGGCCUGCGCGGAAGAUGUAACGGGGCUAAACCAUGCACCGAAGCUGCGGCAGCGACGCUGAUGCGUUGUUGGGUAGGGGAGCGUUCUGUAAGCCUGCGAAGGUGUGCUGUGAGGCAUGCUGGAGGUAUCAGAAGUGCGAAUGCUGACAUAAGUAACGAUAAAGCGGGUGAAAAGCCCGCUCGCCGGAAGACCAAGGGUUCCUGUCCAACGUUAAUCGGGGCAGGGUGAGUCGACCCCUAAGGCGAGGCCGAAAGGCGUAGUCGAUGGGAAACAGGUUAAUAUUCCUGUACUUGGUGUUACUGCGAAGGGGGGACGGAGAAGGCUAUGUUGGCCGGGCGACGGUUGUCCCGGUUUAAGCGUGUAGGCUGGU